AUGGUUACUAUGAUAAAUUUUAUGUUACCUGCAUUUUACCACAACUAAAAACAAUUUUUUAAGUAAAAAAAAAAAGUCAAUUUUUCCACUGGGCUGUCUUUUUCUUUUUGAUUUGUAGGAGCUCUUUAUAUAUUAUCAACAGUAAUCCUUUUUUCUGUUACGGGUGCUAACAAUAUUUUUUUCUAGUCUGUUGCUUUUCUUCGAGUGGAUUGUAUUUAUGUAAGGCCAGAACUUAGCUGGAAGUAUGCUUUUUCUCCCCAAAUCUUGACUUCAUUAGUAACACAGAUGCUUCUCUCUUGCUGAAAAACAAAAUUGGAGGCAGCCGGGGGUGAGCGAGGUCAUCAUCAUUGGCUUGCAGGCUUUAAAGGCAGAGGUGUCUCCGAUUAGAGGCAGCUGCUGGGAGAGUCAUCUGGGAAUCUGCAGGCAGCGAGGCAGUCCUGUGUAACCUGCUGGCAGAGGAGAAGAGGGAAGUGGCUGAGCCAUUGCAGCCACACAAGGAGGGGCCGCACAGGGAAAGAAACUGCCGUGUCUGACACCCAAGUGCAGCUGCCACUGUGUUUCCACACAGCAGGUUUCCAUCUAGAAGGUUCCGCUGAUGGGGUUCACUAGAGGCCAAAGCUGACUCGCAGGGUGGUGGUCACAAAGAUGCAGACACAUCUCAAACCGCAGGUGCUUCCAGGCGCCACGCAGGACUGGGGUUGGCGUGAUGGGCACAGAAAAUGCCUUUGCAGUGGAACGAGCCUAUGAGGUUAGAACUGCCAUUGCCCCCAUUUUACAGAUGGGCAAAUUGAGGCACGGCCAAGCCAAGGAACCACCAAACAAUGCCGCUGCUUUCUCCCCAAGCCCCAGCCCUCUCCUUCCAUCUGUAGAAGGCAGAAACCCUUUUGCCAAAACUCUGCUUCCUCUCACAUUUGUCUAUCAGCUCUCCAACCACAGACACGUUGGCAUAUUACCUAAAAAUUGUUCACCAUAUACCAGAUUGGGGAGGACGUGCUUUACCUGUACCCCACCAGCUGUGCUUCCGUUCGGGACAUCCACAGAUGCCCUGAUGCUGUAGGGGGAACCACGGUCGUGUGCCUGUAUGCAGGGACGUGCAUUUUCUGCAGAAAGAAUGCAUGCCUCUCACCAGCCUCUCAAAGGCAUCCUCCGAGAGGUUAAGAACGACUGUUCUAGGCUAAUGGCCGUUUCUAAGGCCAAAGUAAACACCACAGAGCAAAUAAGAGACAUCUCCAUGUGUCCUACAACUUGGCCCAAUACGUAGAAGGCUCUCAAUCAAUACUUGUGGAUGAAUGAUGGAGCUGCUGGUAGCAUGGCAAGACGCACGAGAUGGGGUUCCUACCCUGCUCCCCAGUUAGGAGCCGAGGCGUAGACAGAUUCUUGCAGCAGAGGGAGGAAGGGAAGCUGGAGGAAGAGGCAGAGAAGGGACAGUUGAAGGAGGAGGAGAGCCAGAGACGAAGAGACUUCCACGAAUAAGAGGCUGGCACCUUCAUCAGGGAGAUGGACGUAGGACUUCCGGGAAUAAGCUGGGGCCCCGCAUCAGAAGCGCGGCAAGAAAGAGAGAUGGCCCCAGGGUGUGGAUGCCAACUGUGGACAUCAUGGGACUCUUUAUUUGGAGGCUCCACUCCCUCUUCCAGGCCCCGAGGCCGGAGCAGGGGCCUUCCAGCACUGUCCAGUCUGCUCCCCCCAGCCUGCCUUUGCACAGUAAAAUGGCUAAAUUUCCCCAGAAAGCAACCGACCAGAGAACCAAAGACUGUCUCCUGUUGCCAACCUCUUUCUUGGGUUGCUAGGACCAGCCCCCGGUCCCGGGGUCAAAUAUUCGUGGUGUGAUUUAAUCAGAGGCUUCUGGCGCCUUCCCAAAUCUAACGCGAGCACGUGUGAACUCCGCUGCCCCUUUCUCUCAGCCCUGUGGAGAUCAGGUCAGAGGCCCCGAAUGUUUUCACUGACCCAGAGUGGGGAGCUGGAUCACAGAAACAUUAACACACAGAGACCGGUCC
rnacentral:lncRNA from 1 species